ACGGGAGGCAGCAGUGGGGGAUAUUGCACAAUGGGGGAAACCCUGAUGCAGCGACGCCGCGUGAGUGAUGAAGUAUUUCGGUAUGUAAAGCUCUAUCAGCAGGGAAGAUAAUGACGGUACCUGACUAAGAAGCACCGGCUAAAUACGUGCCAGCAGCCGCGGUAAUACGUAUGGUGCAAGCGUAAUCCGGAUUUACUGGGUGUAAAGGGAGCGUAGACGUCAAGGCAAGCCAGAUGUGAAAGGCUGGGGCUCAACCCCGGGACUGCAUUUGGAACUGUCUAGCUAGAGUAUCGGAGAGGUAAGUGGAAUUCCUAGUGUAGCGGUGAAACGCGUAGAUAUUAGGAGGAACACCAGUGGCGAAGGCGGCUUACUGGACGAUAACUGACGUUGAGGCUCGAAAGCGUGGGGAGCAAACAGGAUUAGAUACCCUGGUA
rnacentral:rRNA from 1 species